AGUUUGAUCAUGGCUCAGAACGAACGCUGGCGGCAGGCUUAACACAUGCAAGUCGAGCGCCCCGCAAGGGGAGCGGCAGACGGGUGAGUAACGCGUGGGAAUCUACCUUUUGCUACGGAAUAACUCAGGGAAACUUGUGCUAAUACCGUAUGUGCCCUUCGGGGGAAAGAUUUAUCGGCAAAGGAUGAGCCCGCGUUGGAUUAGCUAGUUGGUGAGGUAAAGGCUCACCAAGGCGACGAUCCAUAGCUGGUCUGAGAGGAUGAUCAGCCACACUGGGACUGAGACACGGCCCAGACUCCUACGGGAGGCAGCAGUGGGGAAUAUUGGACAAUGGGCGCAAGCCUGAUCCAGCCAUGCCGCGUGAGUGAUGAAGGUCUUAGGAUUGUAAAGCUCUUUCACCGGUGAAGAUAAUGACGGUAACCGGAGAAGAAGCCCCGGCUAACUUCNNGCCAGCAGCCGCGGUA
rnacentral:rRNA from 1 species